AUGCCAUCGCUCCUGGAGAUUAUGUUAUGAUAAAAGAUCAUUCACAAAAGCACGCGUUGCAACCAAGGUGGAAAGGACCUUGUCAAGUGUUAUUAACCACUAAUUCAGCUGUUAAAGUCGCAGGGGUUAAAUCUUGGAUCCACGUUUCUCACUGUAAACUGACAAGCGCUGAAAAAGAUUUUUUCACUGGAAGAAGAAUAGAGGACUAAGGAAGCCGUUUUCCCUUAUAAAAAGGGGUACUUUUUAAGGGGAGUAUCUUUCUAAUCCAAAGUCAACUCUACUGUUUUUCUUCAUGAAUCUCAAACUGGUUGAUUGUCAUUAUGACAUUUUUUAAAUUUUUCAUCCUCUACACUACGUUAACUUUUUUUUUUCUUUAAUACACGUGUAGCUUGGGCCAGGGAGCCAAGUAUUUUUCUUCUUGGGAGAUAGAUAAUCAUUUCGUUAAAACAGCUACUGAAUUGUAUAAAUUGUCAAACAAAAGUAAUCAUUGUUGGGUUUGUGGGUUUGCUCCGCAUUCCAUGAACUAUGGUUAUCCUUUUGUGGGGGUGCCAUGGUCUAUGGAAUCUUUAUGGGUCUUUGUGAGAAAAUAAGAGCAAAUAAAACGGGGUUUGUUGGAUUUAUUCAGAAUGAAGUAUCCAAAUCUGGCGAACCUGCUAAGGUUCAUUUAACAUAUCCUAUUACUAGCGGAGCAGUAGUAAUUUCUAACAGGGAUCAGAAAAGUCCUGACAAGAUUGUUAAGCCUAUAAGCAAUGCUAUUGUUAUUUUUGAAAACAAUGUCCUUUAUAAUCUAUGUGGGUCUGAAACUAAUUCUGCCCCUUGUACUGGUAGAUUGAAAGCUUUUUGUUGGAAACCCUUAUUAGAAGAUAUUUUAACAAAAUGUCCCAUCAAGGAUAGAAUCCCGGUGAUAACUAAUCAUGUAAGGGUAAAUUUGACUUCUGAGGCAGAAAUCAUGGAUAAUAAUUAUGAUCAGAAUGAACAUUUAAAUGUCACUAUUUUGAGAUGGGCCUACUUUAAUACUCAAGCUUUAACUUCCAAUCUUUUUAUGCUACUGCCCUAUAUUAAUCAACCUAUUUUUGACUGCUCAGAUUCUCGUGUUAUUGAUAUUCAUCUUCCAUUUGGGGUACACUAUUUAUGUGGUAAUUGGGCGGUAAAAAGACUUCCAUGCAAUUGGGUGGGAACUUGUUAUCUAGGUAAUAUUAUCCCAGCGUUAACCCUUCAUGAAAAUUUGCCUGAAGGAAGGGUGAGGAAUAAAAGAAAGGUUAUUAGUUCCAAAAAAGAUAAAACUGAAAGAACUGUAAAAUCUGGUGAAGAAGAUAGGCUAUUUGCAGGUUUUGUACCUACAUGGGGGGUUAUUGAAUUAAUGUACAAAUUAAACUUGUUAGGAGAUAUACUAGAUGAAGCCUUUAAUAAUACAGGAGAUGCUAUUGAAAUAUUGUCUGCAGAACAGGAACAAGCUUCAGCUAUGAUUAUGCAAAAUAGGUUUGCCCUAGAUUAUUUGUUGGCCUCCAAAGGUGGUGUUUGUGCACUAAUAAAAACAAGAUGUUGUUUAAAGAUAGAUAAUGUUACUGGUCAGAUUCAUACAGAUGUAGAUAAAUUGCAUGAAGUACAAAUUAAACUUAGAGAAGUUCACAAUACUUCUUCGGGAGGUUUAAAUUGGGGUUUUGACUGGAGUUUUGGUUUAACUAAUUGGUUGGGAACAAUGGGAAAACGUAUUCUCAUUGGAGUUAUUUUAGUAGUAUUGAUGCUUGUGUUUAUAUAUGUUGCAGUGAAUGUCCUAAAGUGUUCGUGCUGAUUAAUCCUCAAGAGCUGUUCACCUUCAUCUCCCCCUGGCACAAUUUCGAAUGUUGAAAUGUCUCCUAUCCGGUCACAACUCAUAC
rnacentral:lncRNA from 1 species